rnacentral:rRNA from 1 species
UGGUGGAGCGAUUUGUCUGGUUAAUUCCGAUAACGAACGAGACUCUAGCCUACUAAAUAGUGCGUGGAUCUUCAAGUCCUCGCUACUUCUUAGAGGGACAGACGGCGUCUAGCCGCACGAAAUUGAGCAAUAACA